rnacentral:rRNA from 1 species
UACGUAGGGGGCAAGCGUUGUCCGGAUUUAUUGGGCGUAAAGAGCGUGUAGGCGGCCAUACAGGUCAGCUGUGAAAACUCGAGGCUCAACCUCGAGACGUCGGUUGAAACCGUAUGGCUAGAGUCCGGAAGAGGAGAGUGGAAUUCCCGGUGUAGCGGUGAAAUGCGCAGAUAUCGGGAAGAACACCCGUGGCGAAGGCGGCUCUCUGGGACGGUACUGACGCUGAGACGCGAAAGCGUGGGG